rnacentral:rRNA from 1 species
GAUUAUGGCUCAGAACGAACGCUGGUGGCGUGUCUAUACAUGCAAGUCGAGCGAGGCAGCAAUGCCGAGCGGCGAACGGGUGAGUAACGCGUAAGCAAUCUGCCCCAUAUCAGGAAAUACCCGUGCCAACGCGCGGUUAAUGUCCAGGAGAGUGGCCCUCUGCAUGGAGGGUUGACUAGAGAUUUAUCGGUAUGGGAUGAGCUUGCGUCCGAUUAGCUAGUUGGCGGGGCAACGGCCCACCAAGGCGACGAUCGGUAGCCGGCCUGAGAGGGUGAUCGGCCACAUUGGGACUGAGAUACGGCCCAGACUCCUACGGGAGGCAGCAGUAGGGAAUAUUGCACAAUGGGGGAAACCCUGAUGCAGCAACGCCACGUGUGGGAAGAAGCAUUUCGGUGUGUAAACCACUGUCAUGAGGGAAUAAGGCCCUUAUCCGUAAGGGAUUGAAUGUACCUUGAGAGGAAGCACCGGCAAACUUCGUGCCAGCCGCCGC